AAUAGCGAGGAAAAGAAACUAACAAGGAUUCCCCUAGUAACUGCGAGUGAAGCGGGAAAAGCUCAAAUUUAAAAUCUGGUGGUCUUUGGCCAUCCGAGUUGUAAUUUAGAGAAGCGUCUUCCGCGCUGGACCAUGCACAAGUCUCCUGGAAUGGAGCGUCAUAGAGGGUGAGAAUCCCGUCUUUGGCAUGGACAACCAGGGCUUCUGUGAUGCGCUCUCAAAGAGUCGAGUUGUUUGGGAAUGCAGCUCAAAAUGGGUGGUGAACUCCAUCUAAAGCUAAAUAUUGGCGAGAGACCGAUAGCGAACAAGUACCGUGAGGGAAAGAUGAAAAGCACUUUGGAAAGAGAGUGAAACAGUACGUGAAAUUGUUGAAAGGGAAACGCUUGAAGUCAGUCGCGUCGACCGAGACUCAGCCUUGCCUUGGCUUGGUGUACUUCUCGGCUGACGGGUCAACGUCAAUUUUGAUCCUUGGAUAAUGGCAAGGGAAAGGUAGCACCUUUACAGGUGUGUUAUAGUCCUCUGUCGGAUGCAAGGGUUGGGAUUGAGGAACUCAGCACGCGCCUUGUUGGUGUCGGGGCCUUUUGGCCUACGUACGUGCUUAGGAUGUUGGCAUAAUGGCUUUAAACGACCCGUCUUGAAACACGGACCAAGGAGUCUAACAUGCCCGCGAGUGUUCGGGUGGAAAACCCGUGCGCGUAAUGAAAGUAAAAGUUGGGACCUCUGUCGUGGAGGGCACCGACGCCCGGACCAGACCUUCUGUGACGGCUCUGCGGUAGAGCGUGUAUGUUGGGACCCGAAAGAUGGUGAACUAUGCCUGAAUAGGGUGAAGCCAGAGGAAACUCUGGUGGAGGCUCGUAGCGAUUCUGACGUGCAAAUCGAUCGUCAAAUUUGGGUAUAGGGGCGAAAGACUAAUCGAA
rnacentral:rRNA from 1 species